rnacentral:rRNA from 1 species
UAGUGAGUGGCGAACGGGUGAGUAACACGUGAGUAACCUGCCCUCUUCUUUGGGAUAACGCCCGGAAACGGGUGCUAAUACUGGAUAUUCACUGAUCUUCGCAUGGGGGUUGGUGGAAAGGUUUUUUCUGGUGGGGGAUGGGCUCGCGGCCUAUCAGCUUGUUGGUGGGGUGAUGGCCUACCAAGGCUUUGACGGGUAGCCGGCCUGAGAGGGUGACCGGUCACAUUGGGACUGAGAUACGGCCCAG